UUCGUAUUGUCACAUUUAUUCAGGAAGAGAGCUUACUUGUAUGAGCACAUUUGUAUUAUAAAUAUGAAGGCCUGAAGAUUCUUGUCAUGAUGGCUAAUAGGUUUCUCUUUUUGCCAUUCUGUAGACUCAUAGUCAGGCUUGCAGCAGCAGGCAAGGGCUCUCACAACACUCAUUCUUAUUUUAUCUGAGAAAAGCAUGCCAUUACUCACCACAGCUAACAGUCCCUUGCUUCCUUGAGCCAGCUAUCUCAUUUCCAUACUUAUCAACACACCAACAUUGCCCAGUACUUCCAUGACACUGAGUUGCUUUGUAAUAUCCUUCCUCGUUGCACCGUGGAAUGAAAGUUCCUAGGGAUAGCAAAUGGUGCCCUUGUCAAUAAUACAAAUACUUGUAGAGCUAAGCAGGAAGAUAAACUUGCAUUUGUCUGGCCCUGACGUUCAAGGAGGGCUUUCUUUGACUGUUUGCACAGCAGGUUGAAAUGGUCAGGCAUACUGUUUCUCGCUCUCCCUCCCCCCGCCCACCACCAUCAGUUCUUUUGUCAGUAAGGUUCUUCCACACAAAUAGCAUUUAGAAGAGAUUGUGAGGGUGCAAAAGGGCUGCAAUUCAAAUUGUUAUCUUGAAAUAAAGAAAAACAACAACAAAGUGCCUUCAUUUUAUAAGAAGUGCAGUGACAACAACUGGUUCUGUUUAUCAUUGUGGCUCUCUGUUCUUCUCUCACGAAAGCUGAUAUUUCUGCCAUCAGCUUCAACGGAUUCAGUGCAAAUGUACUUGCAUAAAUUUAAAACAAACCACGUCUACUUGAAGAUCAGUUAGAAGAAUAUUGAGCAUGGGUUUCAUAUAGCAGUUUCCAUCAUCUACUGUUUGCUUCUGUUACAGGCACAGAAGAGCAGACUUUUACUGGGUUUGGCUAUAUCUGAGAAAAUACCUAGUACCUUUGUUAGAGAGAUACUACUUGAUUUACUACUCAAAAUAAAUAAAAGGCUUCCUUCACCAGUACUGUAGAUCAAUGCAUCUCUGCAAUGUGCACACAUAACAUUAAAAGGGCUAUUUUACUCCAUUUCACAUGGAUGAAGAAUAUCUGAGGCGUUAUGUACACUGGCAUUAACAGCCAUUGGCCCACCUUUCUGAGGAGUUGGCUGUGGUGAUUUUGUCUGAUUUUGCAGGUGCUGACCUGUACUGUGGAAGGAAUAGGUUUAAGGAAUGUGGAAGAGCUAUAUCCUCAGGUUAGGAUGGCCCAAGGGAAGGGGAUGAGUAU